rnacentral:lncRNA from 10 species
CGGCCUUUGGCCACAGACUGAAGGCUGCAUCGUCAGCUUCCCUACCUUUGAAGAUUUUGGACUUUGACUGAGUCACUAUUGGCUUCUUUCUUCCUCAGCUUGCAGACGGCCUAUCAUGGGACUUCACCUUGUGAUCAAGUUUCCAUCAAGUGCGUGGGACUGCUUACUACCAGGUUCAUUCCUGCAGAAACCACAAUAAAGGGACGUGCCCUCAGUUGCCCUGUCUCCCUCUGCCUCAUGACUGACCGCGGUGCAUGACCUGAGUGGCCUUGUGUGGCCUGCUGCUUUCUCCCCAGUGAACUGUGAAUUGCUAAUUGAGGCAUAUUUUGUGACUAUGGCAGAGGCAAAAAAGUACAAACAAGUAAGUGCUUCUUCAAACCUUAUUUAUAUAUUGUGGAGAAGGACUGAGGUGUUCUAUCUCUUUCCGGCACAAAUCAUCACUUCACAUAUCCCUUCUAGACAGCAGCUGUAUGAUAGCAUGAUACUUUUUUCUACUUGUUCUGAAGUGUGAACCGGAAAGAGCAGAAAGUGUUAGCCAGAGAAAAGACAUCCCUCUGUGAGGAUGCAUUUGGAGAAAAUGGUUGAUUCCCUUUAAGGAAUCAAGGUUAGCCUGCAGAGCUAAUAAAAGCCCCUUGGGAAAACUUGCCUGAUACCUUGUCUACACACUCUCUGUACAGGAUUGCUAAUCUGUGGUGAG